rfam:Myotis lucifugus cont2.8971, whole genome shotgun sequence.
CUGUCUCUGCUUCAACAGCGUUUGGACGGAACAG